GAUGAACGCUGGCGGCGUGCCUAAUACAUGCAAGUCGAGCGAACGGACGAUAAGCUCGCUUCCCUGAUGUUAGCGGCGGACGGGUGAGUAACACGUGGAUAACCUACCUAUAAUACUGGGGGAACUUCGGGGAGCCGCAGCUAAUACCGGCUGAUAUUUCGUACGGCAUGGUUCAAAAGUGCAAGACAGUUUUCCUGUCACUUUUAGAUGGAUCCGCGCUGCAUUAGCUAGUUGGUAAGGUAACGGCUUACCAAGGCAACGAUGCAUAGCCGACCUGAGAGGGUGAUCGGCCACACUGGAACUGAGACACGGUCCAGACUCCUACGGGAGGCAGCAGUAGGGAAUCUUCCGCAAUGGGCGAAAGCCUGACGGAGCCACGCCGCGUGAGUGAUGAAGGUCUUCGGAUCGUAAAACUCUGUUAUUAGGGAAGAACAUAUGUGUAAGUAACUGUGCACAUCUUGACGGUACCUAAUCAGAAAGCCACGGCUAACUACGUG
rnacentral:rRNA from 1 species